UCUGCUAAAGAGGAGGAAGGGAAUGGGCAACGGUAGGUCAGCAUGCCCCGAAUUAUCUGGGCUACACGCGGGCUACAAUGGGUGGGACAAUGGGUAUCGACACCGAAAGGUGAAGGCAAUCUCCUAAACCCAUCCGUAGUUCGGAUUGUGGGCUGCAACUCGCCCACAUGAAGCUGGAAUCUGUAGUAAUCGUGUCUCAAAAUGGCACGGUGAAUAUGUCCCUGCUCCUU
rnacentral:rRNA from 1 species